rnacentral:rRNA from 1 species
AUGAAUGGGUGUGGCUGCCAGAAGUUGAACCAAGCACUAAUCACACUCCUCUCCAAGAAGGCCGACGCUUCCGGCUUGUGCGAUUAUCACCCCAUCAACUUGAUCCACCUGGUUGCGAUGCUUUUCACCAAGGUCCUGUCCUUGCGCCUUGCUCCGAAGAUGGCAAGUCUGGGGUCC